rnacentral:tRNA from 1 species
GUUAAUGUAGCUUAACACCAAAGCAAAGCACUGAAAAUGCUGAGAUGGACACUCAGUCCCAUAAACA